UCGCCUGUUUAUCAAAAACAUCUCUAAAUGGCUUUUAUUUUUAGUAAGACCUGCUCAAUGACCUUUUAAAUUGCCGCAUUCAAUGUGCUAAGGUAGCAUAAUCAUUUGCCUUUUAAUUGUAGGCUUGCAUGAAUGGUUGUUCAUGUAGAUUUCUUUAUUAACUUUAUUUCUUUAAUUUUUCUUAUUAGUAAAAAGACUAAUAUUUGCUAGAAGGACGACAAGACCCUAUCGAGCUUUACUUAUGUUGAACUGGGGCGGUAAAAAACUAAAUCUUUCUUUUUUUCUUUCAGAUAUUCUUUUUAUAAAAAUUUUUAAGUUACCGUAGGGAUAACAGCAUAAUUUUCUUUUAAAGUUCUUAUUAAAAAGAAAGCUUAUGACCUCGAUGUUGAAUUAUUCAUCUUUUUGAAGCAAAAUUUAGAAAAGAAAGUCUGUUCGACUUUUAAAACUUUACGUGAUCUGAGUUC
rnacentral:rRNA from 2 species